UGUAAAAUACUCGUUUCAGGGUGGGAGAUCUGUCCACUUGAGGUCUAUUUUUGGGGUCUUGGAUUUUUAGAACCUGGAAAACCUUUGUGGGGAUUGUGGGCUCCACUGAGAAAAUGUACAGAGUAGAGUAGCUUGGAUUGCUUGUUGGAUGAGCACAUGCUUAUUUACAUCCCAGCGGUUGCAGUAUCCUCUCGUCUUUUGCAUCAAGUUUUCUGUCAUGGUCCCUAGGCAAGUGAAUUUAACCUUGUUGAUACCAAGACCCUGUAAGAAGUCAUCUUCUCACCAGCUCUUUUUAUCCUUUCCUCAUUCCAGAAAGCUGUGGGUCCAAUAGAUUUAUACCACUGCACUGGAGACAUUGGGAUGUGAUCGAGGCUUGAUAAAACAGUUGUUGGGGAGACAAGGGGUAGUUUGCAAAUAACUGUCCUGUUUAGCUUGGAAUUUGAAUUUUCCCACUGUAGAGGACCACUAAAUAGGUGUAGCUGAUUGAUUAGGAAUUUUAUUUGGGGUGUUUACUGACACUGAGAGCUCUUACCAUAACAACAUUAAAGCUGCUGUAAGAAAAUUAACUAGCUGCCAGCCUAUCUCUCUGCACAACAAUCAAAAACUGAAGUGUGUUUCUUUAUGUAGUUCCCAUCAAUAUAUUUCUGU
rnacentral:lncRNA from 1 species